rnacentral:tRNA from 1 species
GGGGUUGCUCAGUGGUAGAGCGCAUGCUUAGCAUGACAAGGUCCUGGGUUCAAUCCCCAGGGCCUCCA